GAUGAACGCUAGCUACAGGCUUAACACAUGCAAGUCGAGGGGAAACGAUAUUGGAAGCUUGCUCCCGAUAGGCGUCGACCGGCGCACGGGUGAGUAACGCGUAUCCAACCUGCCCACCACUUGGGGAUAACCUUGCGAAAGUAAGACUAAUACCCAAUGAUAUCCAUAGAAGACAUCUGAAAUGGAUUAAAGAUUUAUCGGUGAUGGAUGGGGAUGCGUCUGAUGAGCUUGUUGGCGGGGUAACGGCCCACCAAGGCGACGAUCAGUAGGGGUUCUGAGAGGAAGGUCCCCCACAUUGGAACUGAGACACGGUCCAAACUCCUACGGGAGGCAGCAGUGAGGAAUAUUGGUCAAUGGGCGAGAGCCUGAACCAGCCAAGUAGCGUGCAGGAUGACGGCCCUAUGGGUUGUAAACUGCUUUUAUAAGGGAAUAAAGUGGGAGUCGUGACUCCUUUUGCAUGUACCUUAUGAAUAAGGACCGGCUAAUUCCGUGCCAGCAGCCGCCGUAA
rnacentral:rRNA from 1 species